rnacentral:rRNA from 1 species
AGAAUUGACGGGACCGCACAAGCGGUGGAUGAUGUGGUUUAAUUCGAUGCAACGACGAAAACCUUACCACCUUUGACAUGUACGGAAUCCUUUAGAGAUAGAGGAGUGCUCGAAAGAGAGCCGUAACACAGGUGCUGCAUGGCUGUCGUCAGCUCGUGUCGUGAGAUGUUGGGUUAAGUCCCGCAACGAGCGCAACCCUUGUCAUUAGUUGCUACAUUCAGUUGGGCACUCUAAUGAGACUGCCGGUGACAAACCGGAGGAAGGUGGGGAUGACGUCAAGUCCUCAUGGCCCUUAUAGGUGGGGCUACACACGUCAUACAAUGGAUGGUACAAAGGGUCGCCAACCCGCGAGGGGGAGCCAAUCCCAUAAAGCCAUUCGUAGUCCGGAUCGCAGUCUGCAACUCGACUGCGUGAAGUCGGAAUCGCUAGUAAUCGUGGAUCAGAAUGUCACGGUGAAUACGUUCCCGGGCCUU